rnacentral:ncRNA from 1 species
ACCAGGCAGAAGAGCAGUGGUCGCAUCACUGGCCCGUAUCAUGAUGUGGUCGUUGGAAAGGCGUAGAUAGUUCUGCGGUCUGCGUUGGAGCCGGUGCGUCAUCUGGGCGGAGCAGGAGCGUGCACGAUAAGACCCGAAAGAUGGUGAACUUUGCUUGCGUAGGUUGAAGCCAGACAAAACGCUGGUGGACGACCGCAGUGAUUCUGACGUGCAAAUCGAUCGUCAAACGUGAGUAUAGGGGCGAAAGACUAAUCAAACCAUUUAGUAGCUGGUUCCCUCCGAAGUUUCCGUCAGGAUAGCUGGCACUCAUUCGCAAGAUCAGUUUUAUCCGGUAAAGCGAAUGAUUAGAAGUACUGGGUUCGAAACGAUCCCAACCUAUUCUUAAACUUUAAAUGGGUGAGAUGCCCGGCUCGCUUUGUAGGAGUCGGGUGCUGAAUGUGCGAGUGCCAAGUGGGCCAUUUUUGGUAAGCAGAACUGGCGCUGUCGGAUGAACCAAACGCCCGGUUAAGGUGCCUAACGCUGACGUUCAUGAGAUACCACAAAAUGUGUUGGUUAAUAAAGACAGCAGGACGGUGGCCAUGGAAGUCGGCAUCCGCUAAGGAGUGUAUAACAACUCACCUGCCGAAUUGACCAGCCCUGAAAAUGGAUGGCACUGGAGCGUUGGACCUAUACCGGGCCGUCACCGCAAACUGGAUCGCUGGCUAAGUUUGGUGGUGCGAGUAGCGCAUGGCCGGUUACGUGAAUGACAAUCGGUCGCUGUCUUGCGAAGUCAUGAUCCAGGCAAGGAGGCGAUGGCGAGUAGGAGGGUCGCCGUGGUGAGCGUGGAAGCCUUGGACGUGAGUCUGGGUGGAGCCGCCACGUGUUCAGAUCUUGGU